GUGAUCUUCUCACCUCAGCUUCCCAAGUAGCUGGACUACAGCUCAUCAACACUACAAAUCUAAAGCUGAAAGCUCAGGGUACGGUAAUGACAGAUGGAAACUUCAUUACAGAAAGCAAUGAAGAACACCCAAGUGGUAAAUAUGUGGCUGGUCUUGGCUCAUUCCUGCUCCUCCCUGCUAGUAUCUCAAAGCCACCUUACAGGAAUGUAAAAGCCACACUACCCAAUUACUGCAACUCAAAGGAUAAAUGUCAACAUCUAUACAAAGUAUUGUCAGAAAGAGUGUGAAAAAAAGGUGUAGACCAGACCCAUGACUUGCUCCUAAACAACAGAAUAUGACAAAUGGAAUGGCACGUCACUCCCAUGAUUAUGUGAUGUUAUAUGACUGUGUCUUGCUAGCUGGCUGGCUCCACAGACGUUCUCUCUCCCUUGCUGGCUGUGAAGAAGCAAGCUGCCAGAACUCCUAAAGCCACAUGGAGCUCAUUGCUGCCAAAAGGAAUUGGGAAGCAAAUCCUUCCCUAGCUGAGCCUCCAGUUGAGAGCCAGUCCUGGCCAACACCUUGAAUGUAGCCUUGUAAGACCUUCUGAGGAGGACCAAGCUAUGCCGUAUCCAGAUGUGUGACCUGCAGAAACUCUGAGGUAAUAAUUGUGUGCUGAUUCAAGCUCCCAUGUUUGCAGUAAUUUCUUACGCAGCAUAGAAACAUAGACUACAAAUGUCUGGAAAAGAAUAGCAUGUGGCUUUUUAGCCAACCUGUGUGUGAUUUCAAGGGAGCAGGAGAUUUUAGAGGCAAUUAGUCUUAUAAAGGAUAUAUGAGUCCAUUUUGCACUGCUAUGAAGGAAUAGCAGAGACUGGGUAAUUUUACAAGGAAAAUAGGCUUAUUUGACUCAUGGUUCUGCAGGCUGCACAAGAAGCAUGGUGCCAGCAUCAGUUUUUAAUGCGGGCCUCAGGACACGUACAGUCAUAGUGGAAGGCAAGAGGAGCUGGAUGUGGCACACCUUAAGAGAGGAGGCAAGACAGAGGGUGCAAGAAGUUCCAGAAUCUUUAACUACCAGAUCUUAUGUGAACUUAUGACUGUGGGGAGGGCACCAAGCCAUUCAUGAGGGAUCUGCCCCCAUGACCUCCCACUAAGCCCCACCUCCAACACUUGGGAUCACAUUUCAACAUAAGAUUUGGAGGGGGAAAAUAUUAACAUUAUUAAUAUCUGAAUUCUAUUAGAGACGAAAGGGAAAUUUUCCCACACGCUAAACAUUCUAAGUUGACUAGAGAAAGAUAAGGAUGUAUAUAGAGUAGAUUUCUAAGACCUAUACUAUUUUUAAAACCUGGUGGGAUUUGGGACAACGGUGAAGAAUGAAGCAUAUCAAUAAUAAAGACAUCCUCUUUUCACUUUUAUCAAAAAGGAUAAUGACGAGAGAUAUUGGUACCCAGAGUAGGAUAGAAAUAUACUUGAUGAGAGUAAAAGAUUUCGUAGAGAUGUCAAGAAUGAGAGAUAUGUGUCAGUUUAAAUUUUGUUUUAACUACAGGUAUUUUGACUAUGAAGCUAACCUUUUCCUUUUCCAAAAUGGAAGCAUGCCUUCUGAAAGGGAAAUUGUUAAUUACAUGUGCAUGGAUAUGGACUCAUCGGGAGCUAAUUAUUUCAAUAGAAAUGCUUGGAGGUUUCAAAAAUAUUUGUUUAUUGGGAAUGUAAACUUGUGGCCUUAAAAUUGAUGAGAGAUAGUUCCUCCUGAUUUUGGCAGGCUCCUUUCUCUAAAAUUAACUGGAUAAAUCAUAUUAUAGAGAAAAAAUAUAGAUGCUAGAGAAUACAAACAACACCCACAAAGGAGAAACUCCUAUGGAAAUGGAAGAAAGUUUUGAAAUGAAGUGGUGGUUAUGGUUUGUGGAUGGGUGCCUAGUGGCUAGGGUCUGAGGCAGAGGGUAUCUGGGCUAUGAGGGGUUUAAAGAAAAGUUUGAAAAAUUCAGUUCUUGCCGAUCGUUCUUUGCUGUGCAAUUAUUAUUGAUAACUGCUUCCUGCAGAAACCAGUGACAAAGACCCAAAGGUGGUACACACACCUAUCAGGUGAGGAGUUGGGAAAAAAUCUGGAGACUGUGUAGCCCUGGGAGCCACACUCUCCCACUUCCCACUAUUAUACUGCCAUCAUUCUUACCUGGGUCGCACCGGCAGAGAUUCUGAUGUAACUGACCUAGGCUGAUGACCUCAGCAUCAUCGUUUUCAGAGCUUACCAAGUGAUUCUAACAUGCAAGUCUUGAUCUGAAGGUGUUGCUUAGUGACAAAGGAGGGUGAUUAAUUUUGGUUUUAUGAUGCCUGAGACUUUCUACCCUAAGGCUCAUGCCUGUUCACUCCUUGUACUCACUUCGAAUGAGAGAUCCAAGUGUGGGUUUCUGCAGGCGUUUGAGCCCUUUCUCAGCAUACCCUAUAUGAUAUCCCUGGGAGAGAAUUAUUUCAUUAGCCAAAAUAAUGAAAUAUUUAUGGAACUUAAUUAUCUUGAAAGAAAAACAACAAAACAAAGAUCCCUGGAAGUAUUAGAACACAUGGAUGAAAAUAUUUAAAUAAAUUUAUUAUAUAGAUUAAAAGACAUAAUGGACAAAACAUGGACAUACUGGACAAUAUUUGGAAUCCCAUUUCAACUUAAGAUUUGGAGAGGACAAAUAUCUAAACUACAUCAGAGGGGAAAGAGAAAUUU
rnacentral:lncRNA from 1 species